UACGUAGGCAGCAAGCGUUGUUCGGAAUUACUGGGCGUAAAGAGUGCGUAGGCGGCUAGGCCAGUCUGGUGUGAAAUCUCCCGGCUUAACUGGGAGGGUGCGCCGGAUACUGCCUGGCUAGAGUGUGGGAGAGGAAAGUGGAAUUCCUGGUGUAGCGGUGAAAUGCGUAGAUAUCAGGAGGAACACCUGCGGUGUAGACGGCUUUCUGGACCAUAACUGACGCUGAGGCACGAAAGCGUGGGGAG
rnacentral:rRNA from 1 species